CCUUGGGAGGAGAGCAAUAAGAGUUUCAACACUGCGCCUUUCUCCGUUGAAGAGUCUUCCAACUAGGCUGAGUUUGAAGCGAGCAAUCAGCUCAGAGUUAUCUACUGCCGGAAGGAUAACCAGGUCAUCCUCCUCCUCCUCUUGUACUUGCACUUGCAUCUUGUUCUUGUUGGAGUUUGUGAGUGACUGAGACAUCUUUGAAUUAUCAGAUAAAUUAUAGAUCUGUAGAGAAGCUUAACCGCCUGUGAAGAAACGUCUUCCUUUGUGGGAGCUAGGACCCAGCAAAGGAAAUUGAGAAGAAGCUUAAAACUGGAACUCAGUUUUGUAACAGAGA
rnacentral:lncRNA from 1 species